rnacentral:tRNA from 1 species
GAGGGUGUAGCUCAAGUGGUAGAGUGCUUGUUUAGUACAUACAAGGUCCUGGGUUCAAUCUCUAGCACCUCCU